rnacentral:rRNA from 1 species
CACGUAGGGGGGCGAGCGUUGUCCGGAAUCAUUGGGCGUAAAGAGCUCGUAGGCGGCUCAGUAAGUCGGGGUGUGAAACCCCCAGGCUCAACCUGGGGGACGCCACUCGAUACUGCUGUGGCUAGAGUCCAGUAGAGGAGUGUGGAAUUCCCGGUGUAGCGGUGAAAUGCGCAGAUAUCGGGAGGAACACCAACGGCGAAGGCAGCACUCUGGGCUGGAACUGACGCUGAGGAGCGAAAGCGUGGGUAGCAAACAGG